UUUAAGGUCUAAUCUGCCCAAUGAUUAAUUAAAUGGCCGCGGUACUUUGACCGUGCAAAGGUAGCAUAAUAAUUAGUUUUUUAAUUGAAAGCUGGAAUGAAUGAUUGAACGAGAAAAUUGUUGUCUCAAUUUAAUUUUAUUAGAAUUUUAUUUUUAAGUAAAAAAGCUUAAAUAUAUUUAAAAGACGAGAAGACCCUAUAGAGUUUUAUAGUUUAAUUUUAAUUAAUUUGUUAGAAAUUAUUAUAUUAAUUUUUAUUAGAUUAUUUUAUUGGGGUGAUAGAAAAAUUUAAUUAACUUUUUUUAUUUAUUAUCAUUUAUAUAUGUUUAAAUGAUCCAUUUUUUAUGAUUAUAAGAUUUAAUUACCUUAGGGAUAACAGCGUAAUUUUUUUUUAGAGUUCUUAUCGAAAAAAUAGAUUGCGACCUCGAUGUUGGAUUAAAAUUAAUGUUUGGUGUAAAAGCUAAACUAUUAGGUCUGUUCGACCUUUAAAAUUUUACA
rnacentral:rRNA from 1 species